GACAGAGGUCCCGAGCGUUAGGCGGAAUCACUGGGCUUAAAGCGUGUGUAGGCGGAGUUCUAAGUACCUUGUGAAAUCCCACGGCUCAACCGUGGAACUGCUUGGUAUACUGGUUCUCUUGAGCCACCUAGGGGCAACCGGAACAAACGGUGGAGCGGUGAAAUGCGUAGAUAUCGUCAGGAAUGCCAAUGGUGAAGACAGGUGACUGGGCUGGUUCUGACACUGAGGCACGAAAGCGUGGGGAGCGAACGGG
rnacentral:rRNA from 1 species